rnacentral:rRNA from 1 species
AUACGUAGGUGGCAAGCGUUAUCCGGAAUUAUUGGGCGUAAAGCGCGCGUAGGCGGUUUUUUAAGUCUGAUGUGAAAGCCCACGGCUCAACCGUGGAGGGUCAUUGGAAACUGGAAAACUUGAGUGCAGAAGAGGAAAGUGGAAUUCCAUGUGUAGCGGUGAAAUGCGCAGAGAUAUGGAGGAACACCAGUGGCGAAGGCGACUUUCUGGUCUGUAACUGACGCUGAUGUGCGAAAGCGUGGGGAUCAAACAGGAUUAGAAACCCCAGUAGUCC